rnacentral:rRNA from 1 species
GCCCUACGGGAGGCAGCAGUGGGGGAUAUUGCACAAUGGGGGGAACCCUGAUGCAGCGACGCCGCGUGGGUGAAGAAGUAUUUCGGUAUGUAAAGCCCUAUCGGCAGGGAAGAAAUUGGACGGUACCUGACUAAGAAGCCCUGGCUAACUACGAGCCAGCAGCCGCGGUAAUACGUAGGGGGCAAGCGUUAUCCGGAUUCACUGGGGGUAAAGGGAGCGUAGACGGCCAAGCAAGCCUGGAGUGAAAGCCCGGGGCCCAACCCCGGGACCGCUCUGGGAACGGGGCGGCUGGAGUGCGGGAGGGG